rnacentral:rRNA from 1 species
UUUUAGAAUUUAAUUUAAAGUCUAACCUGCCCACUGAAUAAAUUUUAAAUGGCCGCAGUAUCUUAACUGUGCAAAGGUAGCAUAAUCAUUAGUCUUUUAAUUGAAGGCUGGAAUGAAUGGUUGAAUGAAAUAUUAACUGUUUCAUAAAAAUUUAAAAUAAAAUUUUAUUUUUUAGUCAAAAAGCUAAAAUGUAAUUAAAAGACGAGAAGACCCUAUAAAUCUUUAUAUUAAAUUAAUUUUAAUUAUUUUGAUAAAUUAAGUUAUAAUUAUAUUAAAUAUUUUAUUGGGGUGAUAUUAAAAUUUAAUAAACUUUUAAUUUAUAAUUUACAUAAAUUAAUGAAUUAUUGAUCCAUUUAUAUGAUUAUAAAAUUAAGUUACUUUAGGGAUAACAGCGUAAUUUUUUUAGAGAGUUCUUAUUGAUAAAAA